rnacentral:snoRNA from 1 species
UCCUCUUAAUUGGUCUGUGUUUCUGAAACAUAUGUCAUUUGUGGAAAUUCUGA